UUGCAUGGGAGGGCCCCUCCCUCUCUCAGAGGAUGAAGAGGAGAAGGGAGAGAUGAGGGGAAGCUCUGCUCAGCUGAGGGGCCAUUGAAGACAGGAUCAGUGAUGACCUCCACCAUGGGCUGGUUCCCUCUCCUCCUCACCUUCCUGGCUCACUGCACAGGGUCCUGGGCCCAGGCUGUGCUGACUCAGCCGGCCUCAGUGUCUGGGUCCCUGGGCCAGAGGGUCACCAUCUCCUGCACUGGAAGCAGCUCCAAUGUUGGUUAUGGCAAUUAUGUGGGCUGGUACCAGCAGCUCCCAGGAACAGGCCCCAGAACCCUCAUCUAUGGUAGUAGUUACCGACCCUCGGGGGUCCCUGAUCGAUUCUCUGGCUCCAGUUCAGGCAGCUCAGCCACACUGACCAUCUCUGGGCUCCAGGCUGAGGAUGAAGCUGAUUAUUACUGCUCAUCCUAUGACAGCAGUCUCAGUGGUGGCACAGUGCUCCAGGCCUGUGGGGAAGGCACUGGGAGUGGCCGCACCACACUGUUGUGUGAUCACAGCUCAGUAAACUACCCCAGGGUCACAGCUCCUUCAUCCAGGAAGAGAAUGUCUUUUAGGAGUCUGGGGUCCAUGACGGAGCUCACAGGGAAAUACCAUUCCAUCCACUUCUCCAAGGAGGUGUGA